AUGUCCAGAAGACGCUGUAUAUUUCGAUGCAAAACCAAAUUUCCCUUGAAUGGGCUCCCGAAGGAUGAAGAAGUUAAGAGUCAGUGGUUGCAGUUCAUUUUUAAGUCCAACACAAUUCCUCAGCAGUACAGCCCGAAGCUUGUACUGUGUUCCCAUCAUUUUACCGAGGACUGCUUUGAAAACCACGCACAGUUCAAAGCUGGGUACAGUAAACGGCUGAUCCUGAAAGAAGGAGCCGUCCCCACUGUGCUGGGCAGCGUCAAACCUGCAGAGUCAGGACCACAACCUCUUGAUCGACAGCCACAACACUCGAUGAGCCAGGCAGAAGGGACUAACUUUGAUGGGUGUUCGCAAGCAGCAACCAACCAAUCCGGCAUACUUGCUCAACCAUCGUUGCUCUUGUUGAAGCAGGGAGAAGGGGCCAACUUUGAUGGGAUUUUACAAACAGCAACCAACAAAUCCUGCAUUUUUGCUCGACCACCACUCCUCUCACUGAGUCAGGCAGAAGGGGCCAACUUUGAUGGGUGUUUACAAACAGCAACCAAUAAAUCCAGCAUAUUCACUCAACCACAGCUGCUCUUGCUGAGCCGAGGAGAAGGGGCCAACUUCCAGUUGUUGCAAACAGCAACCAACCAAUCCUGCAUAAGCACCGCUGCCAGCACCUGUCCAAUUUCUCCAACUGUCAGAGACGUCGCCUGCCAGACUGAUCCUCCAAAGAGAAUAUCUGUCGGCACACAGCUCUCCAUGAAAACUCUGCAGAGUCACUUCCGCAGUAAAGGUAUCCAGGCGAAAGCGGCCAGCAGAGAUUGCGGCGUGUGCACCCUCACCUUCCCUUUGGACAGUCCAUUACUGUUCCUUCAACCAACAAUAGUAAAGAGACCAUCCAAGAGACCUCGACUCAGCCUCACAGAUGAAGGGGAAGGCCCUUGCUUGUCUAUGGUGGUAAAUGAAUCCGAUGAUUCAAUAUGA
rnacentral:lncRNA from 1 species